AUCUCGGCCCAACUCACGCCGCGCCGCCGCCUCGGCAACCCGCGCCCAACCCACACUUCUUCUCGGGCGCUCGCGCUCCCGGUCCCGGCGGCGAUGGCGGCCGCGGCGGUUGGGGGUGGCGAGCAGAGCACGCCGGAGUUCUGGCCCGAGGGGAGUGGCAUUCUGCCGAUGGAUGAACGGCCUCCUCCACCCGCGCUUCGUCUUCCCCGAGGCCGCCGCGAUGGCGGGCUCUCGGGCUGGCUCCGCUCAAGGUCAAGGAGAGAAUACCAAUGCUUUAGGAUUAUGACUUGCUUACUAUUCUCAAGUAAGCAGUAUUAUGAAAUUUACUUGUUUGGUGGAAUUCCCGUUUCGUGGAAAUAUCAGGAGCCAAUGGAGUUGCUAUCCCAGAUGUUCGUCUUACGCCGUAUAUGAUGAUAUCAACAUUGUAUUGCAUAUGACGGCAGUGCAUGAUGAAGAAGAGUCUCUGGUCAAUCUUGUCCACCCCUUUAGUUGUGUAUUUUCCACAGAUGAGAAGGGUAUUUCACAUAGCUCGAGAGCUAAGAAUCCAACGUCCAGGACACUCGCAGUGCAGGGGGGACAUGGAUCAGGAUUAGGCCUUCAUUUUCCUUGGACCUUUGAACAGUCGUCAGUUCAGCUUCUGCUUCCCCGCCAAAAUUCAUGCAUCGAGACAGUUCCUGGUCAAGUCGUCAAAACACUAUGGUCGGGAUCUUGUAGGGUGAUGUGUAUGAAACGUUAAAAUAGUGGUCUGGUCUAAUCGCAUCGCAUUGCCGGUUGGUUGCAAAUCUUAACUAGUAAGGGAAGCGGAAAGAUUCCGUCCUUCUUUAAAAUAAUAAAACCACUUGCUGACUUGCUACUUUGGGAUUACUAUAUACUAAUUUAUCACCUUAAGCUAAUCUUAUUUACUUUUGGGGGCAGCUUAGCUGAUUUCCUAAUAAAAUUGAUCACCUGAUACAGACGGCACGAAGGAUGAGGUCAUCCCUCUCUGCAGUGAACAUUUGACGGUCGUUACGUUGCUAUAGCAAAGAAGAUAAAUUAUUAAUUGGAAGACGGGUCUGUUACUGCACCAUUAAAAAUAUUAACAUGGUAGGCAAGGCGUCUGCUGAAAAUAUAAAAAUCGUGGAAUACAAGUCUCUAACGCAUCUGUCCUUUUAAAAAGAUAUGGUUGGAGAGAGAUUCUAUCAUACAUGUAUACAAGAGUAUUGUAGGUAAAUCAAACACGACACGCAUUCUGGCCACUAGCUAGAGCAGCAAAUCCUUCUUGAUUGCUCACGGGCAUGACAGCUAUAAUUCCUUGUAUUAACAUGAAUUAUUUCAUAUCAAUUGCUGAUUCAUCUACUCAACUACUCAGCUAUCAUUGCUGAGUACUCCAUUAAAAAAAAACUUAAUUUAGAUAGAGAUAUGACCCAUCCUAAUAUAAUGAAUAUGGAUAACAAACAAUGUUUAAAUUUAUUAUAUUAGGAUGUGUUACAUCCUCAUUCAGAUUAACUUUUUUUUAGUAGGUGAGAGUUGUUUGGAAUCAUGAUUAGUGCUCAAACACAUCUUAAUCAGGGCAGGUGGUGAUGAUGAUUUAAGUUAUACUCAUGCUCACUUCGCUCUCUGUAGAAUGUCUUGCUCAAUUGUCUGCUUAGCUGACGUGAGCUAGCGAGAGCGAUCGAGCGGAUAUAUGACGCGAUACAUAUAAUAUGCUAUUUUUUAGAAUUACAUUUCCCCAAUCGGAAUCACUAUGUUCUUUUUUCUCA